rnacentral:rRNA from 1 species
UAUUGCUCUUAAACGAGGAAUCCCUAGUAAGCGUGAGUCAUCAGCUCACGUUGAUUACGUCCCUGCCCUUUGUACACACCGCCCGUCGCUACUACCGAUUGAAUGGCUUAGUGAGACUCUCGGAUUGAGUUUGAGAACCGGAAACGGCUCUCGUUCUUCGAAAAGUUAGUCAAACUUGGUCAUUUAGAGGAAGUAAAAGUCGUAACAAGGUUUCUGUAGGUGAACCUGCAGAAGGAUCAUUAGAAAUUUUUGUAUUCAAAAUCUUCCCAAUCCUUUAAUAAAAAUUUUUUUUAUAUAUAAUUUUUUUAAAAUUAUUAAUAACUUUCAACAACGGAUCUCUUGGCUCUCGCAUCGAUGAAGAACGCAGCGAAAUGCGAUAAGUAAUGUGAAUUGCAGAUUCCGUGAAUCAUCGAAUCUUUGAACGCAAAUUGCACUCUUUGGUAUUCCGAGGAGUAUGCUUGCUUGAGUGUCCAUUUAUUAUUAUCGCGAUUAAUUUUUUUUAUUCGCGGAUUUGGGUUAUCCGAAUUUUUUUGGAGACUUUAAAAUUUAAUUCUUUUGGUAUAAUACGGUCAAAACGUGCUAUUAUUAUUUAAUAAAAGUAUUUCGUUGAUGAUCUUACCAUAACUUUAUAUACUAUGUUUAUCGCUUGUUAUCUUUUCAAGACUCGAGUGAUUAAACAUAUAUGUAUAUUUCGAGUGUUGACCUCAAGUCAAGUAAGGUUACCCGCUGAACUUAAGCAUAUCAAUAAGCGGAGGAAAAGAAACUAACAAGGAUUCCCUUAGUAACGGCGAGUGAAGUGGGAAAAGCUCAAAUUUUAAAUCUAUCUAGUCCUUCUAGGUCGAAUUGUAAUUUGAAGAAGCACUUUCGGUUGCCCUGGUCUGAUCUAAAUCCUUUGGGAUGAGGUAUCAUGGAGGGUGAGAAUCCCGUUCAUGAUCUGGCAUUGGGUUACCAUAUGAUGUGUUUUCAAAGAGUCGAGUUGUUUGGGAUUGCAGCUCAAAAUGGGUGGUAUAUCUCACCUAAGGCUAAAUAUCUGCGAGAGACCGAUAGCGAACAAGUACCGUGAGGGAAAGAUGAAAAGAACUUUGAAAAGAGAGUUAAACAGUACGUGAAAUUGUUGAAAGGGAAACGAUUGAAGUCAGUCAUGCCAGUAAUGAAUCAACCUCGAGUUUAUUCUUUAGGUGUAUUUCUUUACUUUCGGCAAGUUAGCAUCGAUUUUAUCGGUCAUAAAAUGACUAGGGUAAGGUGUCACCUUCGGGUGUGUUUAUAGACCUUAGUGGAUGUGAUCGUUGAGAUCGAGGUUUGCAGCGAACAAUCCUUUCGGGGGUUUAGUCGUCUGAUCUCUGAUUCGUUAUCCUGUCUUCUCUUCAGCUUGUCUGUGAGUUGCAGGUUCAACGUUCAAAAGGUUAGAACGUUCUUAAGUUUCGCUAAGGAUGCUGACGUAAUGGCUUUAAACGACCCGUCUUGAAACACGGACCAAGGAGUCUAACAUAUGUGCGAGUGUU